rnacentral:rRNA from 1 species
GAUGAACGCUAGCUACAGGCUUAACACAUGCAAGUCGAGGGGCAGCAUGGUCUUAGCUUGCUAAGGCCGAUGGCGACCGGCGCACGGGUGAGUAACACGUAUCCAACCUGCCGUCUACUCUUGGACAGCCUUCUGAAAGGAAGAUUAAUACAAGAUGGCAUCAUGAGUCCGCAUGUUCACAUGAUUAAAGGUAUUCCGGUAGACGAUGGGGAUGCGUUCCAUUAGAUAGUAGGCGGGGUAACGGCCCACCUAGUCUUCGAUGGAUAGGGGUUCUGAGAGGAAGGUCCCCCACAUUGGAACUGAGACACGGUCCAAACUCCUACGGGAGGCAGCAGUGAGGAAUAUUGGUCAAUGGGCGAGAGCCUGAACCAGCCAAGUAGCGUGAAGGAUGACUGCCCUAUGGGUUGUAAACUUCUUUUAUAAAGGAAUAAAGUCGGGUAUGGAUACCCGUUUGCAUGUACUUUAUGAAUAAGGAUCGGCUAACUCCGUGCCAGCAGCCGCGGUAAUACGGAGGAUCCGAGCGUUAUCCGGAUUUAUUGGGUUUAAAGGGAGCGUAGAUGGAUGUUUAAGUCAGUUGUGAAAGUUUGCGGCUCAACCGUAAAAUUGCAGUUGAUACUGGAUAUCUUGAGUGCAGUUGAGGCAGGCGGAAUUCGUGGUGUAGCGGUGAAAUGCUUAGAUAUCACGAAGAACUCCGAUUGCGAAGGCAGCCUGCUAAACUGCAACUGACAUUGAGGCUCGAAAGUGUGGGUAUCAAACAGG